AGUGAACGCUGGCGGUAGGCCUAACACAUGCAAGUCGAACGGCAGCACAGUAAGAGCUUGCUCUUACGGGUGGCGAGUGUCGGACGGGUGGGGAAUACAUCGGAAUCUACUUUUUCGUGGGGGAUACCGUAGGGAAACUUACGCUAAUACCGCAUACGACCUACGGGUGAAAGCAGGGGACCUUCGGACCUUGCGCGAUUGACUGAGCCGAUGUCGGAUUAGCUAGUUGGCGGGGUAAAGGCCCACCAAGGCGACGAUCCGUAGCUGGUCUGAGAGGAUGGACAGCCACACUGGAACUGAGGCACGGUCCAGACUCCUACGGGAGGCAGCAGUGGGGAAUAUUGGACAAGGGGGGCAAGCCUGAUCCAGCCAUACCGCGUGGGUGAAGAAGGCCUUCGGGUUGGAAAGCCCUUUUGUUGGGAAAGAAAAGCAGCAGGUUAAUACCCCGCUGUUCUGACGGUACCCAAAUAAUAAGCACCGGCUAACUUCGUG
rnacentral:rRNA from 1 species